GACGAACGCUGGCGGCGUGCUUAACACAUGCAAGUCGAACGGAAAGGCCCUGCUUUUGUGGGGUGCUCGAGUGGCGAACGGGUGAGUAACACGUGAGUAACCUGCCCUUGACUUUGGGAUAACUUCAGGAGACUGGGGUUAAUACCGGAUAGGAGCUCCUGCUGCAUGGUGGGGGUUGGAAAGUUUCGGCGGUUGGGGAUGGACUCGCGGCUUAUCAGCUUGUUGGUGGGGUAGUGGCUUACCAAGGCUUUGACGGGUAGCCGGCCUGAGAGGGUGACCGGCCACAUUGGGACUGAGAUACGGCCCAGACUCCUACGGGAGGCAGCAGUGGGGAAUAUUGCACAAUGGGCGGAAGCCUGAUGCAGCAACGCCGCGUGCGGGAUGACGGCCUUCGGGUUGUAAACCGCUUUCGCCUGUGACGAAGCGUGAGUGACGGUAAUGGGUAAAGAAGCACCGGCUAACUACGUG
rnacentral:rRNA from 1 species